UUGACAACAUUCAACUUGAGCUAUGCGCGGUCUAGGUAUAACAAGUCUCUGGUAUAAGUGGUUAUGAUGCGAACGUUUGAAUUUUUGACCCAGGGAAAAAAGUUGAUUGAUUUUGAUUUUGCUCGAAAGUUGAUCUCCACCCCUGAGCAAUUUCAAGGGCAGAUAUGGACUUGGCGACUGCGAAAACCCCAGCAAUUUCUUGGUACGGUUAAUUUUUCACUCCAUUGUAUGCCUUCAAUUGGCACCCCCGUAAAGCGAGCCUUGUGGAUCCCUGGUCUAUUUCGGGGGCAGAUAUGGAUUCCGCGACCGCGAAAACUGCUACUUUAUUUAGACAUCUUAUAUAACCAUAGGUUAAGUUACCUACGCAAUAGGGUUCUAUUUUUCUCCUGCUCAGCAGACAACUCGGAAAAUGUAUCACAUCGGGAAGAACAGUUUCCUUUCCUCAUUGUACUUUUUUACGAACAUUCUGCAAAUGGGGAAUAUUUAUAUACCACGACAACUACUAAUGAAAAUGUUUAAACAUUUAAUAGUCUUUAAAAAUAUGAUAUGUAACAUUAUCAUUGUUAUUUGACUAACUAUAGCUACAGUUUAGAACCUAUAGCAUAAUAUUUAAACGAGGUAGACACACAAACAAUAUUAUCACAACUAAUAAAUAUAACGACAACUAAUUUUAUUAAGAUUUCAUUGCUGUAAAUUACUAAAUUAUUGCAUGCUAAAAUGUACUUGGCACAAAAAGUUGAUUUUCAGCUAUUCUAUUCCGUCUCUGUAUCAUAAUCAAACUCUUCAAUUAUAUUUGUGAAUGAUGGGCGCGAUCUUAGGAACUUCUUAACUUCGUCAUCCACUUGCGUGCUGUUAAGUAUGUCGAGUGAAGUCAUGCCCAAUUUUGUUAAUUUGGGAUAAACUACUUUUGAGGCCUUCCAACAGAGUACGUUCCUAUUAAUAUUAUUCAUCAGCGCCUCCGCUUUAG